UACGUAGGGGGCAAGCGUUGUCCGGAUUUACUGGGUGUAAAGGGAGCGUAGACGGCCAGACAAGUCUGAAGUGAAAAUCCAGCGCUUAACGUUGGAAGUGCUUUGGAAACUGCCGGGCUAGAGUGCAGGAGGGGCAGGCGGAGUUCCUAGUGUAGCGGUGAAAUGCGUAGAUAUUAGGAGGAACACCAGUGGCGAAGGCGGCCUGCUGGACUGCAACUGACGUUGAGGCUCGAAGGCGUGGGGAGCAAACAGG
rnacentral:rRNA from 1 species